rnacentral:rRNA from 1 species
ACUACUAGGAUUCCCUCAGUAACGGCGAGUGAAGCGGGAAAAGCGCAGACUGAAAACCUUCGGGGAUGUAGUCUGGAGAUGGGACAUCGAAUCGUCGGAAACCGAUAAAGUGGUCUGGAAUGACACGCCGUGGAGGGUGACAGCCCCGUUCGUAUCGGUGGAAGUAGAAAGUAGAUGCCUAUCAACGAGUCGAGUUGUUUGGGAUUGCAGCUCAAAGCGGGAGGUAAAUUCCUUCCAACGCUAAAUACGGAUAGGAGACCGAUAGCAAACAAGUACCGUGAGGGAAAGAUGAAAAGCACUUUGAAAAGAGAGUGAAAUAGUACGUGAAAUUGCUGAAAAGGAACCGCUGGGAAGCAGUGUGCUGGUUGCAGACUCGUCUGUGACAGGCAAGUAAGGCUUGUUUCGGUUACUGGGGAAAAGGCACGAGUAUUCGUUGUCCUGUCUGGUUCUGGAAUGACUCUUACGAAAUGCUUCUCAUCAACCCGUCUUGAAACACGGACCAAGGAGUCUAACAUAUGUGCAAGUGUUCGGGAGUCAAAUCCCAAGCGCGAAAUUAACGUAAAGGAAUGUUUCGGCAUUCUGAGGUAGGAAGCUUCGGCUGCACUAUCGACCGACCAUGAUCCUUCGAGAGAAAGGUUUUGAGUGUGAGCAUAUAUGUUGGGACCCGAAAGAUGGUGAACUAUGCUUGAGUAGGACGAAGCCAGGGGAAACUCUGGUGG